rnacentral:rRNA from 1 species
CCUACGGGGGGCAGCAGUGGGGAAUUUUGCGCAAUGGGCGAAAGCCUGACGCAGCAACGCCGCGUGGGUGAUGAAGGUCUUCGGACUGUAAAACCCUGUCGUCAGGGACGAAGGUGCGCACGUUAAUAGCGUGUGUGCUUGACGGUACCUGGAGAGGAAGCCCCGGCUAACUCUGUGCCAGCAGCCGCGGUAAUACAGAGGGGGCAAGCGUUAUUCGGAAUUAUUGGGCGUAAAGGGCGCGUAGGCGGUUUUUUAAGUCAGAUGUGUAAUCCCCGAGCUCAACUUGGGAACUGCAUCUGAGACUGGAAGGCUAGAGUACUGGAGAGGGUGGUGGAAUUCCUCGUGUAGCGGUGAAAUGCGUAGAGAUGAGGAGGAACACCAGUGGCGAAGGCGGCCACCUGGACAGUAACUGACGCUGAGGCGCGAAAGUGUGGGUAGCAAACAGGAUUAGAUACCCGAGUAGUC